AUUUAUCGACCUCAGAGCAGG
rnacentral:rRNA from 1 species